rnacentral:rRNA from 1 species
UACGAAGGGGGCUAGCGUUGCUCGGAAUCACUGGGCGUAAAGGGUGCGUAGGCGGAUACUUAAGUCAGGGGUGAAAUCCCGAGGCUCAACCUCGGAACUGCCUUUGAUACUGGGUAUCUCGAGUCCGGAAGAGGUGAGUGGAAUUCCGAGUGUAGAGGUGAAAUUCGUAGAUAUUCGGAGGAACACCAGUGGCGAAGGCGGCUCACUGGUCCGGUACUGACGCUGAGGUGCGAAAGCGUGGGGAGCAAACAGG